rnacentral:rRNA from 1 species
UACGAAGGGGGGCUAGCGUUGUUCGGAAUUACUGGGCGUAAAGCGCACGUAGGCGGAUUUGUAAGUCAGGGGUGAAAUCCCGGGGCUCAACCUCGGAACUGCCUUUGAUACUGCAAGUCUUGAGUCCGAUAGAGGUGAGUGGAAUUCCUAGUGUAGAGGUGAAAUUCGUAGAUAUUAGGAAGAACACCAGUGGCGAAGGCGGCUCACUGGAUCGGUACUGACGCUGAGGUGCGAAAGCGUGGGGAGCAAACAGG